GAUUUUUAUAUAGUAUGGAAUGAUUAUUUAUUUUGUAGUUCCGCAGGGAAGUACUUAUUCAUACAUCAUUAGUUUUUUACCUUUUGAAUAAUGGUCAUACAAGUAGUUUCAUGUAUUAUGAUUUCCCGAAAUAAGACGAUCUAAAAACUUUGUGUUAAUGGACAUAAUUAGGUUUUGUUGCAAUAAGGCCUAAACAAAAGGUUUUUAGGGAUGAAAUGUCUGUCAAGUCUUAUGAUAUCUGGAAUCCUUUUAAAAGUAUUUAGUACUUUCAAGUCAACUUUAAGGUGUCGAGAUCUUAAAGCAAAAGAAUAGUUAAUAUUUUUGACAAUUUCUUGGAAUAAACCCCUUGAAAAACCUAUCGUCGAAACAUUAAUGAUAGUUUAUAUCUAUUUAUUAAAGGGAAACUGAAAUAAACUUAUACUUUAGUUUAUCCUGUUUGAAUUAGUAAUAAUCAAGUAAUUAAAAACAUCAAAAAGCAUUUAGUAAAUACAAUAAAAUUCUAAGAAGGAACUCGGCAAAUACACCCAUCAUCUGUUUAACAAAAACAUAGCCUGAAGCAUUUAUGUUAGGUUCAGCCUGCCCAGUGUAAUUUUAUUAACGGCCGCGGUACUUUGACCGUGCUAAGGUAGCAUAAUCAGUUGACUUUUAAUUGAAGUCUGGAAUGAAUGGAUAAAUGGGGGUCAGCUGUCUUCAUAAAAUUUUAUUGAACUUACUCUUAAGGUGAAAAAGCCUUAACUUAAUAAAAAGACGAGAAGACCCUAGGAGCUUUAUAAUUAUUUUGUUGGGGCGACAAGGGAAAAUAUAUAGAACAAUCUUCCCUUAAUGAUUUUCUACACAAGACGAGUAUCUAAGAAAGAAAAAGCUACCCUAGGGAUAACAGCAUAAUUUAUUAAUUAAGAUUGUGACCUCGAUGUUGGACUAGGAAUUAGAUAGGUGAGCAACCUUUCUUAAUGGUUCUGUUCGAACUUUUUCUCCUACGUGAUCUGAG
rnacentral:rRNA from 2 species